GAAACUACGAUGUCACUGGUACGUCGGGCUUCAUUGGCUUGGUACGUAGCUAACGCGUGAAGUUGACCGCCUGGGGAGUACGGUCGCAAGAUUAAAACUCAAAGGAAUUGACGGGGACCCGCACAAGCGGUGGAUGAUGUGGAUUAAUUCGAUGCAACGCGAAAAACCUUACCUACCCUUGACAUGUACGGAAUCCUGCUGAGAGGUGGAAGUGCCCGAAAGGGAGCCGUAACACAGGUGCUGCAUGGCUGUCGUCAGCUCGUGUCGUGAGAUGUUGGGUUAAGUCCCGCAACGAGCGCAACCCUUGUCCCCAGUUGCUACGCAAGAGCACUCCGGGGAGACUGCCGGUGACAAACCGGAGGAAGGUGGGGGAUGACGUA
rnacentral:rRNA from 1 species